AUGGAUCCUCAUAAAGGUCUUCAUUGUCUUCACAUUGAGCAGGCUGAGGAGGAGGAAGAGAAAGAGGAGAAGUUGGUCUUGCUGUUUCAGAGGUGGCAGAGGUUCAACAGGAGGAGAAGGCUAGUGAUACCUGGUAUGAUACUCUCUCGCAAUGCUGGGCAGUGGCAGUGAUUAUGAGUGCCAACAACUGACACUCUACAGUACCAGUACUGAAGGUGCUGAAGCUUUUAAGGUAUAUUAAAUGCAUUUUCCAAGUUAUGACUUACAAUGGGUUUAACAGGCCAUAACCCCACUGUAAGUUAAGGAACAUGUAUAAUUAUGUUUUUAAAGGGAGAUUGAAGGAAGUUUGAUAAAAAUAUUUUGAAAAUACACACAUCUUUUCCAUUAGCUGAAGGAUUAAUAAUUUAGUUUAGUUGAAAGCUACCCAAAAGGGAACCCAAAAGAGCAAUGAUACUAUUUUCUUAAAAAAAACCAAAAAAAAAACCACAGAAGACAUAAAAAUAUCCAUUGUAAAUUUAUUAUGCAUUAGGAAGCUUAACCUAAAAACCAACAGCAUAGUAAAAAGAUAUGUUAUCUCUGUUCAUAGCAGAACAGGUUUCAAAAUAUAUUUUCUUUUAAAUGUAUUCAGUCAGUACACAAUCCUUUAUAAAAGUUGUAUAUAUUUUUUCUAUCAAUACCUUCAUUACAUUUAUAAAUACAAGAUUUACACAGCAUCAAAAAAAAAUUAAAACCCCUUACAAAUAUCUACAUAUAUGUCAUAGCUAUAAAACUUUCAAAGGAGUGCUCUGUUAAAGGUAGGCUCUAGAUAGAUAAUGGUCCAUUUACUGAUGCAGCAAAAUACAUAUAAAUCUGUAAAGUUUUCUUUGUCCAUAAAAUACCUCAAAAAAUUAGCAAGACACUUUUUGUGAAACUGAGCUUCACUAAACCAUAAUAUUUUAGAAAGGAAUUUGAUGUGCGUAUUCCCAUGAGAUUCAAAAGUCAAAUAAACAGCUUGAAA